CCGGCCUACGGGACGCAGCAGUGGGGAAUAUUGCACAAUGGGGGAAACCCUGAUGCAGCGACGCCGCGUGAGUGAAGAAGUAUUUCGGUAUGUAAAGCUCUAUCGGCAGGGAAGAUAAUGACGGUACCUGACUAAGAAGCCCCGGCUAACUACGUGCCAGCAGCCGCGGUAAUACGUAGGGGGCAAGCGUUAUCCGGAUUUACUGGGUGUAAAGGGUGCGUAGGGGGCAGGGCAAGUCAGAUGUGAAAGCCCGGGGCUCAACCCCGGUACUGCAUUUUAAACUGUCCAGCUGGAG
rnacentral:rRNA from 1 species